UAGUUUAGAAUUUUUUGACAUUUCAAAAUGUGGAUUUACAUAAUGAGAGCAAAUGCUCCUAUGAGCCAAAGUGCAUUUCCCCUUUCCUACAUGCUAUAUUAUUUGUUUGCAUAUACGUAAUUUAUUUUCCAUAGUUUUGCGUGAUCGAUAUUCUUGCUCAUUGUGUCUUCUUCCCAGCUACUUCUUGGCAGGAUCACUGAAUCUUCUGUUCCUUUUGGUGUUGUGGUAUGUGGUAUGGGUUUAGAAUGGACAACCAUCGAUUUUGUGCAGCUGCCGCAACUCUCUCAUCGUUGAUAGAUCAUGUGUCAGGUUCAGCAGGCAUAACCGUGUUUAGUGUAAAGACACUGAAGCUAAUGGAGGUGAUUUCUGACUUUACAUGUACAACACCCUCAAAUCCCAAGCCAUGUACUCGCUUAAUCUGCAUAACAAGGGCGUAUGGCUAGAGCUCAGUUUUGUUAUCAAUUGCCUUUACCCACUAUUUACUCUAUGGUAUAUGUUAGUGCGUGUCUGACAUAAACAGAUGCACAAGACACUGAAGCUUUUGUGCUCCCUUUUCUUAUGCUGGCAUCCGAUUCAAUGGAGAACUGAACUAAAGUGUACUGUGUUGUUAUUAUCUCUUUCUGACAACAAUCUACGUUGUGAGCAAUUCAUACUCUUUGUUCUUUCA